CGGCAUUAGACAGUUUAUCUACAUUUACACAGACACCCUUCGUGCAAAAUUAAAAAUGCAAUCGGGUCCUAUCCAAGCAAAAAUUGCAGCACGAGUUCGUGGUGUUUCGUCGCCGGCGAGGUACGGACACCGGACCGUCGCUCUGAAGAGGAACAGGGCGACGUCAGGCCUUCGGCCGGUGGUGCCGCGUACACAUAGCGCGAGGGCGGCGUCAGGCACGCGAGUGAGCGGCAGCCGCCCUGCUGCACGCGGGCGCGAGCAGCGGCGCCGGCGGCCAGGCGCGAACGAGGAGCGGCGACGGGAGCGACGCCAGCGAGCAGCAGCCGCGCCGGCCGAGCCCGGGCGCGAGCAGCGACGCCGGCGGCCAGGCGCGAGCGAGCGGCGGCGUCGACGGCCACGCGCGAGCAGCAGCGGCGACCGAAACGACGCGAGCGAGCAGCGGUGCCGGCGGACACGCUCGAGCAGCAGCAGCGAGGGGAGCGACGCGAACGAGCAGCGGCGCCGGCGAACACGCUCGAGCAACAGCGGCGAGGGGAGCGACGCGAGAGAGCAGCGGCGCCGGCGGUCAGGUGCGAGUGAACGGUGGAGCCGGAACCUUAUCCUCUUUUUUCUACUCUAUACUAAAUGAAAAAAUGUCCUUAUCCUCUCAGGCCUUUUUACAUUGUAGUCCCUUGUAUUCUGUCUAUUUACGAUAUGUUAUGUUGUGCCACAUCAUUCUUUUUAGCGGGACCCAUCUGUCAUAAUCAUAAUUAAAACAAACAAACUAGGUGACUAGUGUUUUUUUCAAAAAAUUAGAUAAAAAAUUACUAGUAGUUUUGGGCAUAAUUCCGUAGACUCGUAGUUCUUGCAACCCUAGCUUUCAAUGUCGAUGUUUUCUGUAAUUCACUCUCACAUCCCCACUCACCAUAUACAAGCCUUUUGAAAGUUUGAAUACCUGCAACAAUACUCGCCAUAUGCAACCCUUUUUUCAGAGCUGACACAAUGACGGAUCCACGGCUCGCCUUCUCGACUUUCAAUCCGCUUCGUACUGGGAAUCGGAGGUGCUCCUGUAAAUAACAUGCCCCGCAGCCAACCCGGAGAUCCCCCAACCAUAACCCUACCCGGCAGCCAGCGCAACACGGUCGAGAACAAGAGGCGAUCCAAGCCGAGGUCGUUGCAGCCAUCGCCGCAUCCAUCGGCCUCCCGUCCUCAAUAGGAGGGCCCGCGUCAACCGGGGGGAUGGUGACGCUCCGAUCCGCCCUCCGGCACCUGGCACCAGCCGCUCGCUUCCUCAGCAAGGGCGGCGACGCGGCAGCUCUGGACCUAGCUUCACCGCCGUCAGGCGGAAGCAUUCCACCGGCGGCGGUGUAUUCUACAGUACGAUAUUGUGGGACGAACCCUUCAAUUUGAGAACGCCGGUGACCUGGUUCGCAAUCAUCGCCACCGCCAUUGGAACUACUUACAGGAUAAAAGUGCAGACGACUGAUCAUGAAAAGCAGAAGGCAUGUGGACACGAGGAGGGGAAGAAAAAGGAUAGCCUUUGAAGCAUCUGUGCAUGUCUUCCUUUUACUGAGAAGCAUCCGCAUCUUGGAUAAACAGGCUAAGGUUGAUGUGCUUGAAGUCCUUGUAGGCAUAAAGUUCAGUUUUAUGCCACCCCGUGCUAGGUUGGAACCUCUUUUUUUUUAGGGUACUACGGCGGGCAAAAGCCAGCCUGAACGCAUUUAUUAAUUUUAAGGUUUAACAGAGUAUAUGUACAGAGGGUGGGGGAUUUGAGAAGGUAGAAACAUCAAAAGAAAACAACUAUGCUAAUGCUACAUCUAGCCGGGACAACAUGAUACCCCAGUCAAUCAGAACUUGUUUGCGAUCUUCAUUUCCACAUCUAUGGGCCCAAAGAAAGAGGUCUUGCGCUGCCCGCCGAAGAACGAAACCCGAGGACUCAACUUCUUGCUUGAAAACAUUAGCAUUCCUUCUUUUCCACA